rnacentral:rRNA from 1 species
UAUAGGGGAGCCGGAGGGAAACCGAGUCUUAAUUGGGCGUUAAGUUGCAGGGUAUAGACCCGAAACCCGGUGAUCUAGCCAUGGGCAGGUUGAAGGUUGGGUAACACUAACUGGAGGACCGAACCGACUAAUGUUGAAAAAUUAGCGGAUGACCUGUGGCUGGGGGUGAAAGGCCAAUCAAACCGGGAGAUAGCUGGUUCUCCCCGAAAGCUAUUUAGGUAGCGCCUCGUGAAUUCAUCUCCGGGGGUAGAGCACUGUUUCGGCUAGGGGGCCAUCCCGGCUUACCAACCCGAUGCAAACUGCGAAUACCGGAGAAUGUUAUCACGGGAGACACACGGCGGGUGCUAACGUCCGUCGUGAAGAGGGAAACAACCCAGACCGCCAGCUAAGGUCCCAAAGUCAUGGUUAAGUGGGAAACGAUGUGGGAAGGCCCAGACAGCCAGGAUGUUGGCUUAGAAGCAGCCAUCAUUUAAAGAAAGCGUAAUAGCUCACUGGUCGAGUCGGCCUGCGCGGAAGAUGUAACGGGGCUAAACCAUGCACCGAAGCUGCGGCAGCGACGCUUAUGCGUUGUUGGGUAGGGGAGCGUUCUGUAAGCCUGUGAAGGUGUGUCGUGAGGCAUGCUGGAGGUAUCAGAAGUGCGAAUGCUGACAUAAGUAACGAUAAAGCGGGUGAAAAGCCCGCUCGCCGGAAGACCAAGGGUUCCUGUCCAACGUUAAUCGGGGCAGGGUGAGUCGACCCCUAAGGCGAGGCCGA